rnacentral:miRNA from 1 species
AAUCGAGACUCAAUGACCU